GUGUCCAGUGCCGUAAAUUGCAG
rnacentral:miRNA from 1 species